AGUAAGUCCACAUCAGGAAUCCCUUUUAUUUUGUUUUGUUUUUGUUGUUGUUUGUUGUUUUGAGACAGAGUCUUACUAUGUAGCCCUGGUUGUCCUGGAACCCACUAUGUAGACCAGGCUGGUCUUGAACUCACAGAGAUCCAACUGACUGUUUCCCAAGUGCUGGGACUAAAGGAUGCGUGUGGAGGUCAGAGACAACUUGUGGGCGUUGGUUCUUUCCUUCUACCAUGAGGGUUCCAGGAAUCAAAACGACUUCAAGGAUCUCAAGUGACCAAGGUUCUGCAACUGGAGACUUUGCAAAUGCAGGAGCCCUGCCACUUCUGGCUUUGGAGAUGGAAGGAGGUGUGUGAUGAGAGCAGCCCGGAGACUGGGACACUGGGAGGGAUGGCUUUUCCCAGUGACACACUCAGAUGGACUCCAUCUUGCCUUCGCCUUGGUUUUGACUCCAUAGAACCUACUUCAGACUUUCCCCAGAGCUGCAAAGGUAGUAAAUGGGUGCAGUUUCAAAGUGACCACGCAGCUCUGGGGCAUUUGGUUCCAGCAGGAAAAGGACUGUGAUAUGGUGAGCGUGUAUUUUAUCAUAAUAAAAGAGAAACCACACCGUUAAAGCAAAGUGGUAGGCAAUUGCCCAGCUCAGUGUGGCUAUAAGGGAACUCUGGUAGCAAGCUAACUCAAGAACAGAAAGAGGUUUUAUUUUGCUCACAGUUUUGGUGAUUCAUGGACACGGUGCCUGAACUGGCUCAGGUCCAAUGAGGAUCUCAUGGCAACGGUAUGAACACAGCAUCUUGAACAGGAAGAGGAGAAUGCUGGGUGAGACCACACUGGGGACUAACGAGCCUCUCGUGAGAAUUACCAAGGAGGACCAAUGGACUGAUUUCUCCUGGGCACAACUCUGAUGGCCUAAGGCCUUCAAUUAGGCCUCUCCUCCAAAGGUUCCACCAUCUUCCAUGGUGCCACGUUGCAGAUCAAGCUUUUGAACACCAGGGACCUUGGGAGAUGCAAUGCUCAAACCACCUCCAGCUUUGUCCUCACUCGGGAGCCUGUCUGCUUCCAUAUAUUGGUAAAAUAUAAAUAUUCUUAGACUCGGGCUUUGUUCUAAGGAGAGAACAGUAAUUCACCACAUGGUACAACUGGUGACAAUGAGACCGAGACGUUGUCAGCUGGUGUCCUGGCAUGGACGAGUACUGAGGCGUCGACUAACUGAAUAUGGCACAUAAUCCAUUGGGGACAUCAGUAGAUUCAGAGGACAGUCAUGGAUCUGGCAAAAACAAGAAUGAAUGGAUGCAGGAGCAGAGAGCAAUGAUUCUGGGUUGGUGAGGUUAAUCCACUCUGGUUACAUAUCCAUCCAGGGCCUUGGUUCUGCAGGUGCGUCCACUGAGUGACAGGAUGGCCCCGG
rnacentral:lncRNA from 1 species